CCCCUAGAUGUUCUGGGCCGCACGCGCGCUACACUGACGAAUGCAACGAGCUUAUAACCUUGGCCGAAAGGUCUGGGUAAUCUCCAAAUUUCGUCGUGAUGGGGAUAGAUUAUUGCAAUUAUUAAUCUUCAACGAGGAAUGCCUAGUAAGCGCAAGUCAUCAGCUUGCGUUGAUUACGUCCCUGCCCUUUGUACACACCGCCCGUCGCUCCUACCGAUUGAAUGGUCCGGUGAAGCGCUCGGACCGCGGCCUCUUGACGGUUUUCCGUCGAUUGGCUGUGGGAAGUUCGUUAAACCUUAUCAUUUAGAGGAAGGAGAAGUCGUANCA
rnacentral:rRNA from 1 species